rnacentral:rRNA from 1 species
AAUAGAUACCCGGGUAGUCCACGCCGUAAACGAUGUCGACUUGGAGGUUGUGCCCUUGAGGCGUGGCUUCCGGAGCUAACGCGUUAAGUCGACCGCCUGGGGAGUACGGCCGCAAGGUUAAAACUCAAAUGAAUUGACGGGGGCCCGCACAAGCGGUGGAGCAUGUGGUUUAAUUCGAUGCAACGCGAAGAACCUUACCUACUCUUGACAUCCAGAGAACUUAGCAGAGAUGCUUUGGUGCCUUCGGGAACUCUGAGACAGGUGCUGCAUGGCUGUCGUCAGCUCGUGUUGUGAAUGUUGGGUUAAGUCCCGCAACGAGCGCAACCCUUAUCCUUUGUUGCCAGCGAUUCGGUCGGGAACUCAAAGGAGACUGCCAGUGAUAAACUGGAGGAAGGUGGGGAUGACGUCAAGUCAUCAUGGCCCUUACGAGUAGGGCUACACACGUGCUACAAUAGGCAUAUACAAAGAAGAAGCGACCUCGCGAGAGCAAGCGGACCUCAUAAAGUAUGUCGUAGUCCGGAUUGGUAGU